rnacentral:rRNA from 1 species
GAUGAACGCUGGCGGCGUGCCUAAUACAUGCAAGUCGAGCGAACAGACGAGGAGCUUGCUCCUCUGACGUUAGCGGCGGACGGGUGAGUAACACGUGGAUAACCUACCUAUAAGACUGGGAUAACUUCGGGAAACCGGAGCUAAUACCGGAUAAUAUAUUGAACCGCAUGGUUCAAUAGUGAAAGACGGUUUUGCUGUCACUUAUAGAUGGAUCCGCGCCGCAUUAGCUAGUUGGUAAGGUAACGGCUUAGCAAGGCAACGAUGCGUAGCCGACCUGAUAGGGUGAUCGGCCACACUAGAACUGAGACACGGUCCAGACUCCUACGGGAGGCAGCAGUAGGGAAUCGUCCGCAAUAGGCGAAAGCCUGACGGAGCAACGCCGCGUGAGUUAUGAAGGUCUUCGGAUCGUAAAACUCGGUUAUUAGGGAAGAACAAAUUUGUAAGUAACUAUGCACGUCUUGACGGUACCUAAUCAGAAAGCCACGGCUAACUACGUG